CACGUAGGGGGCGAGCGUUGUCCGGAUUUAUUGGGCGUAAAGAGCUCGUAGGCGGCUCAGUAAGUCGGGUGUGAAAACUCCAGGCUCAACCUGGAGACGCCACCUGAUACUGCUGUGGCUAGAGUCCGGUAGGGGAGCAUGGAAUUCCUGGUGUAGCGGUGAAAUGCGCAGAUAUCAGGAGGAACACCGGUGGCGAAGGCGGUUCUCUGGGCAUGUCCUGACGCUGAGGAGCGAAAGUGUGGGGAGCGAACAGG
rnacentral:rRNA from 1 species